rnacentral:rRNA from 1 species
UACGUAGGGGGCGAGCGUUGUCCGGAAUUACUGGGCGUAAAGGGUGCGUAGGCGGCCUGAUAAGUCAGGUGUGAAAUACCAGGGCUCAACCCUGGGGGUGCACUUGAAACUGUCGGGCUUGAGUGCAGGAGAGGAAAGCGGAAUUCCUAGUGUAGCGGUGAAAUGCGUAGAUAUUAGGAGGAACACCAGUGGCGAAGGCGGCUUUCUGGACUGCAACUGACGCUGAGGCACGAAAGCGUGGGUAGCGAACAGG